rnacentral:lncRNA from 1 species
AGAAAAACAUUGAAAGAAACAAAUCAACCAGGAGAUCAAGGCCUCUCUCUAAAGAAAGCCAGGAACCAUAUGUAUCCACUCUAAAAGCUGGAAGCCAGAAAAAGAAACUUCUCUCAGGCUCUUCCUAGCUCUACUACUCAUGUAAAUCACUCAGAUAAAAAUUCCAUCACAGAGGAAAGUUUUGUGCAAAUACUUGAGCAAAUUAUGAGACACCAUUACCUUUGAAACCCCAAAGACGAACUUCAUACUGAAGUCAAUGGAAAGACAUAUGAAGCUAUGAUCUGAGGAUGGAGGGAGAAGCCCAUCAGCUCCUGCUGAAGUGGUUCCCAG